rnacentral:rRNA from 1 species
UACGGAGGGUGCGAGCGUUGUCCGGAAUCACUGGGCGUAAAGGGCGCGUAGGCGGCCUGAUAAGUAGGGGGUGAAAUCCUGCGGCUUAACCGCAGGGCUGCCUUCUAAACUGUCGGGCUAGAGCACGGUAGAGGCAGAUGGAAUUCCCGGUGUAGCGGUGGAAUGCGUAGAGAUCGGGAAGAACAUCAGUGGCGAAAGCGGCUCUCUGGAACGGUACUGACGCUGAGACGCGAAAGCGUGGGGAGCGAACAGG